rnacentral:rRNA from 1 species
UACGUAGGGUGCAAGCGUUAAUCGGAAUUACUGGGCGUAAAGCGUGCGCAGGCGGUGAUGUAAGACAGAUGUGAAAUCCCCGGGCUCAACCUGGGAACUGCAUUUGUGACUGCAUCGCUGGAGUACGGCAGAGGGGGAUGGAAUUCCGCGUGUAGCAGUGAAAUGCGUAGAUAUGCGGAGGAACACCGAUGGCGAAGGCAAUCCCCUGGGCCUGCACUGACGCUCAUGCACGAAAGCGUGGGGAGCAAACAGG